UGGCUCUGGCAUCGAUGAAGAACGCAGCGAAAUGCGAUAAGUAAUGUGAAUUGCAGAAUUCAGUGAAUCAUCGAAUCUUUGAACGCACAUUGCGCCCUCUGGUAUUCCGGAGGGCAUGCCUGUUCGAGCGUCAUUACAACCCUCAAGCUUUGCUUGGUAUUGGGCCUCGGGCGUCAGCCCGUGCCUUAAAAUCAGUGGCGGUGCCACCUGGCUCUGAGCGUAGUAAAUCUCUCGCUAUAGAUGUCUGGUGGAUGCUUGCCAUAACCCCUAAUUUUUUAUGGUUGACCUCGGAUCAGGUAGGGAUACCCGCUGA
rnacentral:misc_RNA from 1 species